CUUCUCCAGGAUCAUCAACUAACAGUCGACCAACGGAGGAAUGGAUCGCAUCUUGGGUUUUAAAGGGAGAUUGACCUGGUUUCAAAAAUCGAUUCCCUCUUUUCUUCUUCUUCUCCCUCCUUACUCUCCUCUCUUCAAAUCGCGAAGACAAAACGAGGGUUUCUCCUUCUUCCUCCCUCCCAUUCAAAUGACAGACUACAGAUAAUCGAUCGUGCGUCCCCGCCGCUGAAGUUUCAGCUUGUUGGAAUUCCUUUGAUGUUUUUUUCUUUCUCCCAUGUUUUGAAUCCCGGAGAUUGUGGAUAUGAGACAUAGAUUCAUCUAGGCUCCUAAUGUUUGGUGAAUCUUUAGCUCAAAAAUGGAAGAGCACCUGGGAUUUUACCCAGGGUAUGAUGGUUUGAAUCUAUCAAGAUUCUUGGAUAUGGUCUUACUGUGUGCUGAAUUUUUAAGUGCGUGUGUGUUGCCAGCUACUGAAUUUAAUAUGGUCUUGAUAUGGUAUUGAUAUGGUUUGUCAUUUUAAGUGAGUGUGUGUAUAGCCAGCUAGAAUUUCAGUUCCAGGUUUGCUUUAAUAUGGUUUGUGAAUGAACAUCAACAGAGUAGUUUGUAAGUGAAUACAUCUAUGACAAGAGUGGUUUGUAAGUGAAUUUCAGUUCCAGCUAGAAUCUCCUGUUUCCUGAACAUCAACAAAGUGGUUUGUAAGUGAAUACAUCUAUGGCAGUUCUUUGGAAGUAAUAUUUUUGAUUGCUUA